UACGUAGGGCGCAAGCGUUGUCCGGAAUUAUUGGGCGUAAAGAGCUCGUAGGCGGCUUGUUACGUCUGCUGUGAAAUCCCGGGGCUUAACCCCGGGCGUGCAGUGGAUACGGGCAGGCUGGAGGCAGGCAGGGGAGAACGGAAUUCCCGGUGUAGCGGUGAAAUGCGCAGAUAUCGGGAGGAACACCGGUGGCGAAGGCGGUUCUCUGGGCCUGUACUGACGCUGAGGAGCGAAAGCGUGGGGAGCGAACAGG
rnacentral:rRNA from 1 species